rnacentral:lncRNA from 1 species
CGGCGCGCGCGCGCGCACAUCCCUACCUAGCAGCGCGUUGGCCGGCGACCGCGGAGCUUGAACCUGACAGAGCCGGAGUUGAGCCAGCAGGGACGCGCGGAGGGGCGAGAGAGCCCUCAGAGAUGUCCGCGCGCCUGCGAACCAACCCUGAGCAAGGUGGACUGAAGCCCGAGUUCUAAGCCCUGAUUGCUGAGUUCUAAGAUAAUUCCGUUUGGGGAGAGCAUUUUCUCAUUCCUAAACCUGGUUUCUAAAUUUCCAUCCUUAAUUCCCAGUAACCUUGAAGGAUGUGGCCUCAAAGUGGGCUUUUUCACCACUCUUCUUUGUCCUUACAGGGUGUCUGUGUUUGUGAAGCGCUCCCUCACUGAUUUCUUCUGUGGGACCCUAGUUGAAAAGGGAAAUAACCUGCGGGGAAAGAAGGACAAAGUGCUGAGCACUGCUGGACAUCAUAUGAAGAGAAGGCUACUAAGUGAUAGAUCCAAGAAUUUAGGGCAAGAGGAAGCCCAAAUGAGAGUUGCAAUGAGAAGCUCAGCUGGCCCCACAAAAACCUUAUUCAGAUCCUGCACAUAAAAACCUGAGAAAGUGCCUGUUUCAAGCCUAGCUACCUGGACUGGAGGCAAUAGACCUUCAUUAUGGAUAGAAAAAGACUUCAGGCAUUUAUCAGGGAAUGGAAAUAGCCUCUUUUGAUGCCCCCACUAGCUUUAUUAAGAUAUAAAUGGCGUAGAAUAAAUUGUAUAUAUUUAAAGUGUACAAUUUGAUACUUCUUGGCAUAUUUAUAAACCUAUGACAAUAUUAUGAUAACCAAAAUAAUGAAUAUAUCUAUGACUCAAAAUGUUCUGAUUUCCUGUGUGACCCCUUCCUCUUGGCUUUCCCUGUUUAUCCCUACCUCAGGAAAGUACUUGUUUUCUGUCAUAAUAGGUUAGUUUGCAUUUUCUACAAUCUUAAACAAAGUCACGCAUCUUUUUGUGGGGGGUGGUCUGGUCUAUUUUGCUCAGCAUAAUUGAGAUCUAUAAACAUUGUUCUAUGUAUUGAUGCUUUUUCCUUUUUAUUGCUGAGUAAAAAAUACAUUAUAUGGACAUUCUAUAGUUUAUUUAUUCAUGCAAAUAAUGAUGGGC